rnacentral:rRNA from 1 species
AUACGGAGGGUGCAAGCGUUAUUCGGAAUCACUGGGCGUAAAGGACGCGUAGGCGGGUUGGCAAGUCAGAUGUGAAAUCCUACAGCUUAACUGUAGAACUGCAUUUGAAACUGCUAACCUAGAGUAUGGGAGGGGGAGAUGGAAUUAGUGGUGUAGGGGUAAAAUCCGUAGAUAUCACUAGGAAUACCGAAAGCGAAGGCGAUCUCCUGGAACAUAACUGACGCUAAGGCGUGAAAGCGCGGGGAGCAAACAGGAUUAGAAACCCCAGUAGUCC